AUUGAACGCUGGCGGCAUGCUUUACACAUGCAAGUCGAACGGUAACAGGGAGCUUGCUCCGCUGACGAGUGGCGAACGGGUGAGUAAUGCAUCGGAACGUACCCAGUCGUGGGGGAUAACGUAGCGAAAGUUACGCUAAUACCGCAUACGUCCUGAGGGAGAAAGCGGGGGACCGUAAGGCCUCGCGCGAUUGGAGCGGCCGAUGUCGGAUUAGCUAGUUGGUGGGGUAAAGGCCUACCAAGGCGACGAUCCGUAGCGGGUCUGAGAGGAUGAUCCGCCACACUGGGACUGAGACACGGCCCAGACUCCUACGGGAGGCAGCAGUGGGGAAUUUUGGACAAUGGGGGCAACCCUGAUCCAGCCAUGCCGCGUGAGUGAAGAAGGCCUUCGGGUUGUAAAGCUCUUUUCAGACGGAAAGAAAACGCAUCGGUGAAUACCCGGAUGUGGAUGACGGUACCGUAAGAAGAAGCACCGGCUAACUACGUGCCAGCAGCCGCGGUAAGG
rnacentral:rRNA from 1 species